UACGGAGGGGGCGAGCGUUGUCCGAAUUUAUUGGGCGUAAAGCGCGUGUAGGCGGAUGGACAAGCCUGAGGUGAAAGGUUGGGGCUCAACCCCAUACAGUGCCUUGGGGACUGUUCGUCUGGAGGCCGGCAGAGGAGAGUGGAAUUCCUGGUGUAGCGGUGGAAUGCGUAGAUAUCAGGAGGAACACCGAUGGCGAAGGCGGCAUCCUGGACUGGUCCUGACACUCAUGAGCGAAAGCGUGGGGAGCGAUCCGG
rnacentral:rRNA from 1 species